rnacentral:RNase_P_RNA from 1 species
UCUAUCAGCCGGCCAUCGCUCUUGCUCUUUUGGGGGCAGGGGAGGAAAGUCCGGACAGCAAAGAACAACACACCGGUUAACAGCCGGCACCCGGCAACGGGGAGAGACAGUGCCACAGAAAAUAACCGUCCCGGCCAUGCUGGGAUAAGGGUGAAAAAGUGAGGUAAGAGCUCACGGCGAUAAUUGGUAACAGUUAUUGGGGGUAAACCUUGUGUGCUGUAAUGCCACGUAUAUCCUGGUUUGUAGCUGGUUCGCCAGUACGCAAGGUGAGCGGUUCGUUCACUAUUCCGGUCUCCGGAUUACCGGGAAGGGUAGGCAGCAAGACUGUAACAGCAAUGUUGCAGCCAGAUAAAUGAUGGCCGUUCCACUUCGGUGGGAUAACAGAAUCCGGCUUAUGGCUGAUAGAUUUU